rnacentral:lncRNA from 1 species
UACCAUACUCUGGGGAAACCCUGUGGCCCUCACCCCUCCCAAACGUACUAGGCGGGACAGCCCGGGAAACUGAGAGGCUAGACUGCCCCUCCCAUGUGGGCGGAGGUUCCUGGCACAAGACGGUCUCCCCGGCCUGUGGGGAGGGCUUUAUUGCUACCCUCCUGGUGCCCCCUUAGGAAUGGAUCUGACCGGCAAUUUCCUAGAAUUGUGCUUCUGGAGCUCCUCAGUCGUCCACUCCCUGCCCCUCUUCCCCACCUCAUUUAAGGCUCCUCUCCCCAGAGCCCAAGUCCCCGUAGCUGUCCCAGCUCCACCCUGAUCUAACUUCCUAGGCCUCACAGCUCUCUUUAUCAUAGCCAGUCUCUUCAGGGGCUGUCUGCUCCCCUUGUGGGGAGGAACUGGGGCAUGGGAGGCUACAGGGCCACCGGGGCCCAUCAGGAAGUUCAGUAGCUGUGGUUGACAGGACAACCACUCUUGGUUAGGCCUUCCCAGUGCUGUUCAUCCCCGGCUUGGCUGGUGAGAGGACUGGACCAUGUCUGCUCCCUCUCCCGAUAAAUUGAGCCUGACUGGUGCCAAAAAGGGUGGGCGGGAAGCACAAAACAAGAGUCACUGGACAGGAGGGGAGCAAUUUAUCCUUUCUUUAUCCCAAACUGCCAGCCGUGUACCAGGGAGCAGUGCCACGCCAGACCUCCAAGCUCCCAGUGGCCACCCUACGUCCAGGUCCCACAGGGUGGACUCCAGGAAGAGGCCUGGGAGGUCAGGGGAGAGGCCUGCCUGCACUUGAUGGAUGGUCCUGAAGAAAUGUCUGGCACUUUCCUCCCCCAUGAGGGCGGUGGAGCUGCAGCCACCUCUCCCCCGCAUUCCUGCCUGCCUGCCUGCCUGGGAAGGAGGGGUGAGGGGUGGGUCCAGCAGGGAAACCAGGGCUCCUGGCCCAGCUGAGAGGCAUUUUGCAAACUAUGACUCAACAUUUGUCUACACUGACAUGGGGAAUGGAGGAGCACGUGGACAAUCCCCAAAUUUCACCUGGGUUGAAAGGCAUCCAUAUGUUCCCACCCGACCCCCACUUCCUCCCCAGCUCCCAGGCCUCUCCAUUCAGUCCAUACUAAUUAUCUGAUUCCUACUGUAUGCCAGCCAUUGAGUAACAUAACAGUUCUCAAGGUGUGGUCCGCAAAUCCUGGGAGUCCCAAAUAUUUUUUCAGGGCAUAGAUGAGGUCAAACGAUUUUCAUAAUAAUUCUAAUACGUUAUUUGCCUUUUUGACAGAGUUGACACAUUGCAUCGAAGUGCAAAAGCAAUGGGGGUAAAACUGCUGUGGCUUUACAUAAAUCAAGGCAGUGGCACCCAAUUAGUAUUGCAUGCAUUCUUCACCACUGCACACUGAAAAGGCUGGUUUCACAUAAGAAUGUUCUUGAUAAAGCAGUCAACAAUUAUUAACAUGUAAUAGGCUUAUUAUUGUUAUCUUACAUGAGUUAAUAAAUAAGGAUUUGUCGGGCCGGGCACGAUGGGGUUUCACCAUGUAGGCCACGCUGAUCUCAAACUCCUGACCUUGUGAUCCACCCACCUUGGCCUCCCAAGCUGCUGGGAUUACAGGGUUGAGCCACUAUACCUAGCCUUUUUUUUUUUUUUUUAAGAUAGUCUCGCUCUGUGGCCCAGGCUGGAGUGCAGUGGUGAGAUCUUGGCUCACUGAAGCCUCCACCUCCUGGGUUCAAGCAAUUCUCCUGCCUCAGUCACCUGAGUACCUGGGAUUACAGGCAUGCAUCGCUAUGCCCGGCUAAUUCUGUAUUUUUUUUUUUUUUUUUUGAGACAGAGUCUCGCUCUGUUGCCCAGGCUGGAGUACAGUGGUGCAAUCUCAGCUCACCACAACCUCUGCCUCCCAGGUUCAAGCGAUUCUCCUCCCUCAGCCUCCUGAGUAGCUGGGACUACAGGCAUGUGCCACCAUAUCUGGCUAAUUUUUCUAUUUUUAGUAAAGACGGGGUUUCCCUAUAUUGGCCAGGAUGGUCUCGAACUCCUGACCUCAUGAUCCACCUGCCUCAGCCUCUCAAAGUGCUGGGAUUACAGGUGUGAGCCACCGCGUCUGGCAACUAAUUUUGUAUUUUUAGUAGAGACUGGGUUUCUCCAUGUUGGUCAGGCUGGUCUCGAACUCCUCAUCUCAUGUGAUUUGCCCACCUCAGCCUCCCAAAGUACUGAGAUUACAAGAGUGUGCCUGGUUUUUUUUUUUUUUUUUUUUUUUUUUUUUUUGAGACAGUCUCCCUCUGUUGCCCAGGCUGGAGUGCAGUGGCGCCAUCUCGGCUCACUGCAACCUCCGCCUCCUGGGUUCAAGAGAUUCUCGGCCGGGUGUGGUGGUUUACGCCUGUAAUCCCAGCACUUUGGGAGGCCGAGGCGGGCGGAUCAUGAGGUUGGGAGAUCGAGACCAUCCUGGCUAACAUGGUGAAACCCCGUCUCUACUAAAAAUACAAAAAAUUAGCCGGGCGAGGUGGUGGGCGCCUGUCCCAGCUACUCGGGAGGCUGAGGCAGGAGAAUGGGGUGAACCUGGGAGGCAGAGCUUGCAGUAAGCCGAGAUGGCACCACUGCACUCCAGCCUGGGCGAAGGAGCGAGACUCCGUCUCAAAAAAAAAAAAAAAAAAAGAGAUUCUCCUGCCUCAGUCUCCUGAGUAGCUGGGAUUACAGGCGCGUGCCACCAUACCCAGCUAAUUUUUGUAUUUUUAGUAGAGACUGGGUUUCACCAUGUUGGCCAGGCUGGUUUUGAACUCUUGACCUCAGGUGAUCCAUCCACCUCAGCCUCCCAAAGUGCUGGGAUUACAGGCAUGAGCCCCUGUGCCCGGCCAAUAAUAAUAAUUCUUAAGGAUGUAAAUGGGUCCUUAAACCAGUUUCAGCACUGCUGGGCAAUUCAUAGGCUGUUACUACUCUCAGAGCCUGCAUUCCCAGCUUAAGAAUCGAGAGUCUUUUUUUUUUACUUUUCCUUCUAGACCCUUGUAGAACAAGAAGUGAGUCUUAUUUGAAGUAGAGAGUGGAGAACUGACUGUUUUCUGGCAACCCUCUCUCCCUCAAGAAGAGACACUGUCACUGGAAUAAAGAUUUUAAUUGUCUCUGCUCAUGGUAGAAGCAAGGCAUACAGGCCCCCAACCCUUCUGCGCCACCCCUCUUCUCCCCUGUGCACUGUGUCUACUGCUGG